rnacentral:sRNA from 1 species
GCGCUCUAUGAAAUAUUUCGGGCGUCGGAUGCCUC